UACGUAGGGACCAAGCGUUGUUCGGAUUUACUGGGCGUAAAGAGCGUGUAGGCGGCCAGGUAGGUCAGCUGUGAAAACUCGAGGCUCAACCUCGAGACGUCGGUUGAAACCAUCUGGCUAGAGUCCGGAAGAGGAGAGUGGAAUUCCUGGUGUAGCGGUGAAAUGCGCAGAUAUCAGGAGGAACACCGGUGGCGAAGGCGGGGUCUCUGGGCCGAUACUGACGCUGAGGAGCGAAAGCGUGGGGAGCGAACAGG
rnacentral:rRNA from 1 species